CAAGACCCAAAGAAUGAAAACGCAUCUGUCAGCAGAAACCACAACGGUAAACAACCUACCUAGGGACCCAAUAAGGAGCAGGAGACCCCAGACCUAAAUAUUACUAUUGGUCCAAACUACUGCAUGAAGGGUGGAGAGCUUAGAUUGGAAAGUAUAACUGCCCAGGGAUUUCUUUGUUCGGGGUCCCUCUUCAGAGGCACCCAACUCGAGCUGUAACUACUGCACGCGUUUCAUUACAAUUUAUUUAUUUAAUUUGCCUUGAUUUGACUCCAAACUUUUCAGCAGAAACCUGGGGUCGGACCCUGCUCGAGUUGUAAUUACUGCACGCGCUUCACCAAAAUUUACACCCAGGGUGAAGAGGACCAACAGGACGCUGCUGGAUCCACGGCCCAUACUGUGAGAGAGCAGAACUGUGAGAAGGUGGAAAAUGAAUUAUGCAUCCAGAUACUCGCAAACAAGAUAAUUUCACUAAGAGACCUCAAUAGAUGUCUGGGAUAGUGGGAUCACAAGAUUAUGAGCCUUUCCACACCAUUCACAUAGACUGCCUGGAUCCUUCUGAGGUCAGAACUUGAAAGCCCUGCUACUUAAGGCAAUUACAGAGUAUGGCAAAGGCCAAAAGUGGUAGGAGGGAAUGAAGAUCUGUCUUCCUCCUUGCCUCCCCUCUGUUGCCUUUGCAAUGCCAGAGGGCAGCUUCUCCACCCGCCACCAAGGAGGGCCCCUUGCCCAGGCUUGACACCAAAGCCUCAAGAUCUCAGGAAGGGUUUUUUGAAAUCAAAACUGCAAUAUGCCAGAUUUGACACUACUUCUAUCAAGACAGUCUUCUAAAGUGCCCAAAGAGAGACUACCUGGAAAAAGUUGGUUCGAAUCACUUUUGCAAGUUGUGCAACUGGAAGACUGGUUUAGGCUACAGUCUUGAUCCCACAUCCCACCUGAGUAUGAAACCUUGAAGCCCUGUUUCAUCUUUUGCUUUCUGAAUAUAUAUUUGUAUAGAUGCAUGUAGCUGCACAUAUAGUAUAUUGUAUAGAUGUAAUAGCGGAUGUUAAGGUCAUGCAUGGUACUGGAAUUUUCUCUCGCAACAGUGAAUAGCUAACUGUACUUCAACACUUGCAACAGUGAAUAGCUAGUUGUUCAUAUGAAAUAGAACAGCUUUGACUUGAAAAUGAAUAAACAGCAGCAGGAUGUAAUCUCCUCAGAAAUGGAAGCAACAAUUUGCUGUAUGUUUCCACAAAGGAAUCAGAAUGACCACGAAUUAUACUCAUCCUAGAGCAAAGUGAGGAAAGUCCACUUCUUUGACCUUCUCUUUCCUUAAUAACCUAAACAAAAAUAUAAGAGAGUAAAAUAGAGAAGGCAAAAGUAUUUGUGAAAGCCCUUCAGAAAGGAAGAAAGAGAAAUUCCCAUAUAUUGGUUUCUGAACCAUCGUGUUUUGAAGAGCUUCAGAUAACAUCUCAAUUCUGAGGUGGUGUUUGCCAUUAGUACUGUUGUCAGCCUCCAUGAGAUGAGAAGAUGCUUUUCUAGGGUGGACAGAAGAAAUGCCCUUCCAUUCUUCCAUCAAAUCACUAAGCUGUAACACCUUUUUUUUUCUGCCCUUUUUCAGUCAGAUUGUCUCAUCAGAACUGGCUGAGUUUGAACCUUUUCAUCCUCUUACCUUUUAAAGCUGAAACCUGUGAGAAGUAGCAAUCCUGAAGGAGAGCUUCUUCCAGGUAUAAUUGAUAGGUUCAUAGGAAAUGAGCAAUUGGAGAAAAAAUGUAAAGCAAUAGAGGUACAGACAGGGUAGGUUUCAUCUGUCCUAACUCUGAACUAGUCUCCCAUUGCAGCCAAGGAAGAAUAAGAGGUAUCUCUAGAAAGUGAUUCAUCCUAAAAUGGAUGACUUAGGUCAUAGGGAUUGUCCCCUGCUUGUAUUUCUUUCUCUCCUAUUUUUCUCCUAUAAAGGGAGUCUGUGGUGACUAGUUCCAAAACAACUCAUAUUUAAAUUUUAAGACACCUAGAUACAAACUUAGUUGCCUAAAUUAUCAUGAGCUAGUGCCACCUGAAAUGCCCUAGGUCUUCUCAUUUGAUUUCACCUGUGACUGCAGAAGUGUGAGUACUAAAUCCUAUGUCAUAUCUGCCAACCUUAUGCAGAUGCCCCCCAAACUCUAAAACUUCUCCAAUGGCAACAUAUGUGCACAUACAGGAACCAAAUCGAGUCCCUGAAUUUUGGCAAGACGAGCUGCCUCUCAGUUGGUUACCUAACCUCACCAUUUUGAUACAUAAAAGCACAUAACUUUUGGCAUAUUCAGUGCCUAAGAAAUAUGCUAAUAUUUCUCUGCACACCCUGUCUCUUCCUCUCUUAGUGGGACCCCACAGUUUGCUAACUGGACUGGAGACUUAAAGGAACUUGUUAUCUGAUAUAUAAUUCAUGUAAUGUUAGGGACUUGAUUCUUUUACCUUUAACCCUGAUGGGAUAUCCAAGAGUAUAUGAAAUGGUACUAGACACCUAUUUGUGUGGUGUGGGCAAGUGAAACGCAUCCUAGGCAAAUAAAUUUGGUCAGAAGCAGCCUUAACUCUCCUUUUUACUCUCUGUUGAGCCUGGGGUACCUCACUUGGAUAAAGGCCUUUUCAUUUACAACAUCUGCAAUUACCUAAAUGAACAUCCACCCCUGAGCUCUGUAUCAGGUCUUGGUAAUUGAAAAUAGAUACGCCUACCAGCUGUUUUCCUGCAAACUGACUGAACCUCUAUGUAAACAUUGUGCACACAUAAUGAAUCCAGGAGAAGUCAUUAUCCAUGAAAAUUAUACAAUAUAUCUCAUAUCCAUGACAUAUGAUGCUAAAGGAUGGUAAAUUUAUGUCCACAGAUCAUUAUACAACACCAAAAAUAAAAUAGAAAAAUGAAUAGUUAGCAUUUCCUUUUACCUACCUGCAUGGUAGUUCAUCAAUACAAAUGAUUAGUCAUGAUUCAGAGUUUAAAAAUUAGCAAUAAAAAUGCAUUUAUACAUAUAUGAUUCAUUUUUUCUCUAAAACUGGAAUAGUAUUAGUCAAGAAGAUAAUAUCCUUACUUAAUCCAGCAUAUCUAAAUUGAGAAGAUUACCUGCAUUUGGUUAGAAAUUUGUAAUUCUGAAUGACUAAAUAUGGUCUUAUGCUGAUUUAUUUUAAUCAUAAAAUAACUGGACCAUUUAUAUCUUCAUCUGAAAUGCCCAAACAUAGGUGGGCAUCCUCUGCAGAGGAUUUUUUUCAGCUUUGAGAAGGUAUUCCUUCAGCUUUUAAAGCCGGUCAGGUGUAUAUUUACAAAAUGUUCCUACAGAGACACAUGAAACAUUUCUUCCCUUUUAUGUAUUUUGUAUCAGUGCAAUGAAAAAAGACAGGACCACCUGGAAGAUGUCCAAACACUCGGGUGGUUGUUUCUGACAAGGAAACGAUGCACCUGUGUAGCCGAAAUUGAAGCAGCGUGUCUGGAAGGGAAGUUCUGGUACACAGCACAGAUAAAAGGCGAAGCAGCAAACUGAGCAAACCUGUACCUGCUGAAGGCCAUGCGGCCCCUCGACUUCAGUUCAGUGCCACAAGACUAAGAAAGUAAAGCUAGACAAGAGCAGUUAAUAACCAAACAAGAGUGUGUGGGAUGGAGGGGAAUGGAAACAUUCAAUUAGACGCUGGUUUCAUGUAUUGCCAGUGGGUUAAUGGCUGUGUUUUAGCACAGAAAGCGAGCAGUAUGGUCACUAACGUUACCAUUAAGCUACACUCUGCAUUAUUAAUUUCAGACAUGCCUAAUUGAUUUUACCAGGCUUUCCACUCAGGCUGUAUUUAAAAUAUGAAUUAAAAGGCCCCUAAUUCUAUUCAAAAAGUCCAUCUGUUGCUGACAAACUCUCGCCAGAGGUUGCGUGGCAACCUUUAUUGCUGAGCACAUGCGGUCGGCCUCCCUGGGCUGCCUUUGUCUGGCCUCCGAGAGCGCUGCCCUUGACAGAGGAACAGCAGGAAGCCUCUGCUUUUGGCUAGAGCUUUGCCUGGCAAGUGAAGCACUCAUUACAGAGUGCUGAGGUAGAUAUCUGGCACAGUGAUUUCUUAUAUGUACAUGUUUAAAUGUACUUUUUCACGAAUGUCACAAAUUCCUGGGCCUUUGGGAAAGAUUUCGUCUUUCCCUUGUUGGCUUUUGGCUUUCAGAUGUUACAUCAAGAAAGCAAUUUACUUGAGGCAAGUGGAAGAAAAUCCCCAGUGUUUAAGGCACUACAAAAAGAAAACCCCUGUAUUUUGAAACAAACUUCAUUGUAGUAUUAUAUUCCUAGGCUUUAAUAAUAAAAAUUCAUAGCAAGGUAUUUUUCACUGUCACUUUUGAAAACGCCUAAAUAUCAAUACAAAAGUGGGAGUACACAGAGACUGUGAGUUUAUUUUAAGAAAAUACAUGCAUCCCAACAUGACAAACAAUUUGCACAACUGCGAAAGCUCCUUAGGGACUCAAUUCAGUGAAAGGCGAAGAAAGUUUAGGGUGACAUCCCCCAAGAAACACAAUAGCUUGAUAAAAUGUCACAGCUGAGUGUGUUUUAAUUUUCACUGGUAAGAGCAUAAAUGUCUUAGCAGGCAUUUGUGUAGAAAGUACUAUACCAGAAAUCUCUUGUGCCCACACUGUGUCUUAUGUUGCAGUCCCAAUAGUUUAUAAUACAAACAUAUUUUGUUACUUAUUGGCUUAAGAGAAGAACCAGAGCUUCAGGAAGAAACUCAAUAAAGAGGUGGCACAAUUCAGCGCACAGGAAGUACAGACAUUGUGGUGAAUGAAGUGAAUGAUCACGUAGCUUAAGAUUAGUGCUUAUGGAGGAUUAAAGCAAUGGAUGCAGGAAAGUGAUGGAGUAGCUACUAGAGAAGAGAUGGAUGCUGUAAGAUAUUGAAGACAAGAAGACACAGCAUGAAAUCAAUAUAAUAAACAUGAUAUUCUUUUCCUUGGGCUGAGGAAGAAUUCUCAAAACAAUACUUUCUCUCAUUUUAUAAAUGAAAAAAGUAAAUGCAGUGUAUAAGUUACAUACAGCUUUAUGUUUAUUGACACUACUUCUUGUUCAGUUGAACUGCAUCACAUUUGAUUUGUUUUUAAAAAGCAGCAGUUACAAAAAUUCAUAUAUAUUUGCUUUUCAUUUUCAAUUUUUUACUAUUUUCACUUAUCUUCUUACAUACCUGGAAAAAUAACAUGGCUAUGGUACUGACUCCUAAUCAAAGCAAUUAAUGUUUUUGCUAACCUGCAGUAUAAGUAGCAGCACUUCCUGAGAGCAUGGUAGAGCAGGUAACAAAGAAACGAGCACUUCAGUGACAAAUGGCGACAGAUAUUCCAUUUAGUGUCAGAUGUUGAUUGCCAAAAUAUGAAAUGCUAGAAUACAUAAAUCACUUUACUAGAUCUUCUCAAAUGUGCAGCCAUUAUUGAUCUUUAAAGCUAAAUAGAUUCUUCUACGUUUUUAGUUACCAUCUAUACUGAGUCUUUUGCAGGACAUGGUUUUACAACUACAUUUGAAGACUGCAGUCAAGUUACUGCAUUACCAGCCAUGCCCACCUUGCCCAGGCCAGGAAAAAAAAAGGUCCAAAUGACACUAUAUUAAUCUUUAAAUAUUCAGUUACAAGUCUAAUUUCAAGCUCUGAUUUAAACUAGAACCUACAUGCAAAACUUGGCAUUUAAGUAUCAGCAUCGCAUUUUUUCCCUCAGAAAUGAAAGUCCUGGGAAGUUUUUCAAAGAACAUGGUGAGAUCUGUAAUUAUGGGAUAUAUGCAUAUGGUGCUUGACAUUCCAUGUUUAAAUUAUUGUCUAAAUAAUAUUGAGUCAAAAUUAUUGGGAGCUGAGUACAUAAAAUAAAAGUGAAAUGAAGGGGAGGCUUGUGUGACAGUUUCUUUGAAAACUCUUACCAGUUGGACAAACCUAUCAUCGGUUUCCUUCAAGGAUUUAUUUUAAAACUCAGAAAGUUGUGUGUCAAAAUCUAGAU